GCCUUCGGGCAUUUGGUUUAUUUGAAACGAUACAGGUUCGUCAGCUCUGCCCCACCUCCAGAAACUCGCGCAUUCGAAUCCCGACUAACUCCCUCGCAGAGAAGAUUAGCAUGGCCCCUGCACUAAGGAUGACACGCUCAAUCAAAGAGAAGCUAAAUAUUUUU
rnacentral:snRNA from 1 species